rnacentral:rRNA from 1 species
GGAAACACAUGUCCGGCAGCCGGGUGUAUCAGGAGGUUGCGAGCGUUAAACGGAAUUACUGGGCGUAAAGGUGUCGCAGGAGGCAUCGCAAGUCAGUCGUGAAAUCCCCGGGCUUAACCUGGGAAUGGCGCUUGAAACUACGGUGCUGGAGUAUGGCAGAGGGAGGUGGAAUUCCACGUGUAGCGGUGAAAUGCGUAGAGAUGUGGAGGAACACCGAUGGCGAAGGCAGCCUCCUGGGCCAAUACUGACGCUCAUGCACGAAAGCGUGGGGAGCAAACAGGAUUAGAUACCCGUGUAGUC